rnacentral:rRNA from 1 species
AUAUUACUAAGGGGAGGAAAAGAAACUAACAAGGAUUCCCCCAGUAACGGCGAGUGAAGCGGGAAGAGCUCAAACUAGUGUAACAACCAGUGGAGUUGUAGCCUAGAGACGCUCUCUCAGUGCUAGACCGGCUAUAAGUCUCCUGGAAUGGGGCAUCAUAGAGGGUGAGAAUCCCGUCUUUGAGCUGGAUCUAAGUGCGUACGAGGGGUGUUCCAAGAGUCGCGUUGCUUGGGAGUGCAGCGCUAAAUGGGUGGUAAAGUUCAUCUAAAGCCAAAGACCGGCGAGAAACCGCUAGCGAACAAGUACCGUGAGGGAAAGAUGAAAAGAACUUUGAAAAGAGAGUUAAAAAGUACUUGAAAUUGUUAACAGGUAAGGGCAGGAAACCAGUAAUUCCUGGGCACAUUUGCGGACGCCGAAAGGCUGCUGUUACUUGUGUUUGGGAGAGUCAUCAUCAUUUAGAACCGUUGGAGAAAGCGUUUGGAUUGGUGCGCUUCGGAAACGAUUCGUUUUAGUCCUUACGUCCUACAUUGGUUCUGAAUGAGGAUGAAAACCCGCACGCCUAAUACGCGUACGGCACUCUUUGG